rnacentral:tRNA from 1 species
CAACUAUGAAGCAAAAGCGGCCUAGCUGUUAAUUAGGAAGUUGUGGCAAAAAUAACCACCUAGUUGA